AGCUGUGGGAGAACUGACAACCACCUAAAGAAGAGGUGGCGAUAAUGGCUCUCCAAGAGGAGGUUGUCAGUCUGGAGUCUGAAGGCUUUUAUUCAACAAGGAGGCACUUAGAGGGAAUGCCUGGACCCUGAGAGGACUAAGACGAUAAUUGAGGCCACCCUGAAGCAGUUCCCAGGCCAGACACUCACUCCAGAUUGCUGGGCCAGGCAAUAAAUGCCAAAGUGGCAGAAUUGAGGUUCCA